UACGAAGGGGGCGAGCGUUGUUCGGAAUUACUGGGCGUAAAGGGCGCGCAGGCGGUCCUUCAAGUCAGAUGUGAAAGCCCCGGGCUCAACCUGGGAACUGCAUUUGAGACUGGAGGACUUGAGGACGGGAGAGGAGAGUGGAAUUCCCAGUGUAGAGGUGAAAUUCGUAGAUAUUGGGAAGAACACCGAUGGCGAAGGCAGCUCUCUGGACCGUUACUGACGCUGAGGCGCGAAAGCGUGGGGAGCGAACAGG
rnacentral:rRNA from 1 species